AUUGAACGCUGGCGGCAGGCCUAACACAUGCAAGUCGAGCGGGGUUUUCGGACCUAGCGGCGGACGGGUGAGUAAUGCGUAGGAAGCUACCCGAUAGAGGGGGAUACCAGUUGGAAACGACUGUUAAUACCGCAUAAUGUCUACGGACCAAAGUGUGGGACCUUCGGGCCACAUGCUAUCGGAUGCGCCUACGUGGGAUUAGCUAGUUGAUGGGGUAAUGGCUCACCAAGGCGACGAUCCCUAGCUGGUUUGAGAGGAUGAUCAGCCACACUGGAACUGAGACACGGUCCAGACUCCUACGGGAGGCAGCAGUGGGGAAUAUUGGACAAUGGGCGCAAGCCUGAUCCAGCCAUGCCGCGUGUGUGAAGAAGGCCUUCGGGUUGUAAAGCACUUUCAGUAGGGAGGAAGGAUGUUGUGUUAAUAGCACAGCAUUUUGACGUUACCUACAGAAGAAGCACCGGCUAACUCUGUGCCAGCCGCCGCAGUAAAAC
rnacentral:rRNA from 1 species